rnacentral:sRNA from 1 species
ACCAGGCAUGGUGGCACACGCCUGUAAUCCUAGCUACUCUGGAGGUUGAGGCAAGAGGAUUGUGAGUUCCAAAACAGACCUGGCAACUUAGCAAAACCCUGUCUCAA